rnacentral:rRNA from 1 species
CGUAGGGGCAAGCGUUAUCCGGAUUUACUGGGUGUAAAGGGAGCGUAGACGGCGAUGCAAGUCUGAAGUGAAAUACCCGGGCUCAACCUGGGAACUGCUUUGGAAACUGUAUGGCUAGAGUGCUGGAGAGGUAAGCGGAAUUCCUAGUGUAGCGGUGAAAUGCGUAGAUAUUAGGAAGAACACCAGUGGCGAAGGCGGCUUACUGGACAGUAACUGACGUUCAGGCUCGAAAGCGUGGGGAGCAAACAGGAUU